CUGAGAAAAUUGAGCCGAAGCCCGGUUUAUCCGGCGGGUGAAGCCCGACUCACAAGCGAAUAA
rnacentral:rRNA from 1 species